AUCGCUUCUCGGCCUUUUGGCUAAGAUCAAGUGUAGUAUCUGUUCUUAUCAGUUUAAUAUCUGAUAUGUCCUCUAUAUGAGGACUACAUAUUAAGCAGAUUUUUGCAUAGGCAUGGGGGAGAAAUUUGGAGCUUGCUCCUUUCUCUCCACGCAUCGACCUAGCAUUGCAGUGUCGCUGGGAACGGUGCACUCUGU